AAAAGAGCUAUCCAUCGGGAAAAAAACUGGACACGCCCACUCCGCCCACUCUCCCUCCUCAGUUCUGCUCACCUUAUCUCUUCUAUCUUCUAUUUGUCUCCCCACCGCUGCCGUCCAUGGUCCUCCCAUCGAUUACGGCGAUGGAGUCCCUGGGCGUGCUGCUGCUGCACCCCAUGAACGGCUACCUGGAGCAGGAGCUGGACCGCCUCUUCCGCUUCUGGGACUCCCCUCCAGACGGGGGCGCCGAGUUCCUCCGUGCGGUCGUCGGCAACGCCGGAUACAAGGCCGACGCCGCGCUCAUCGAUGCGCUGCUGUCCCUUGAGAACGUUGCGUCUUCCGUGGGGAUCGACCGCGGCGACCUCACCAAGUGCCGCGAGCGCGGGAUCCAUGCUCACCGACGUGCUCACCGAUGCCGUCGGCCUCGUCAUCUCCGCGGUAAGGAAGAUCACGCAUGGUGACCGCUAUGUGCGCGCCGGCUUGUGGAAGGCCAAGGGGGACUACACGGUUAACAUGAUGCAUGAGUAGUCUCGUGACGAAGACCUUUAACUAUGAUGUCAUCUACUCUCAUUUGUGACAUUGGAAAUUGUUUGCGUUUCAUGACCAAGAGGUACAACAAUAGCUCUCAGUCUCCCUGCAAUUUCUACCAUCUGAUAUGCAUCAUUCCUAUGCAACCAAUUGGAUUCAUCAAUGUUUCCUAAUUUAUUGUCCUCGUCAGGAGGGAUGCCUUCAUGUGAUUGGUAUGAAGUUGGCAUGUUUGAUAAGCCUGCAAGAAAUUUGGUGUCACCAUAUCAGUGCAUAUAAUUAUAUACUCCCUCCAUCCUAAAAUAAAUGUCUCAACUUUAUACUAACUUUAGUGCAAAGUUUACUUACGUUGAGACACUUAUGUUGGGACGGAGGGAGUAUCUCUUAAUAAUAUGCGAGAUAAUAAAAGGCAAUGACUAUUUUAUGGUAGCACACAACCUGCAAAUGAUAUUGUUUGUAGCUGGCUGACACUCGAUUGUCCUGUAGCUGGUGUGUGUGACACAUUGUCAACAUUGUUAACGGUGGCAAUAGAUGUCUUUGCCUGUUCACGGGAUUGGCGUUUUCUUCUUAAUAUUUCAUCCCUGUUCUGUGCAUACCGCUCCCUGUCCCUUUGCCUCCUUAACUCUUUAAGGUCUACAUAGAUGCAAAAAGCUAAUUAGUUUCAACAUUUAGGGGUGUAUGUAAUGCGUUGAUCGUCAUUACCAAUGGAUGUGGACAUCGGUGUUUGUGUUUCAUCUUUUUGGGCACCGGUCCCUGCAGAAGCCUGAGACAAUUUUUUCUAACUGUAGGCUUGACGUUGUCUUUUUAAUAUGUCAUCCCUAUUUUAUGAAUACCGUUCCCGUUCUAGUUGCCUCUUUUGCUCCAUAGGAUCUACAUCUAUGAUACAUUAUAGUUAUAAUUCAGAGUCUCAAAAUGUUACCUGAACAACGGAACAUAAGCCAACAGUACAAGGUUAUUUAUACUUUGGGUCAUGGCCAGGGGUGUAUGUGGCACACUUUGCUGGUCAUUAGGCAGCGCUUUUGGAGUUCCGUUAUUUUGGCGUGCAUCACGACGCCGUUUGAGAAUGGCAUCUUUAUUUCGUGCAUAGUAUUCUUUGUCCCGCUGCCUCUUCAAUUCCUUAGGGUCUGUAUAAAUACAAACAAAAAAGUUAGCGCAUAAGCAAUAACAGUGUUCAUCAUUCAAGAAAAACUGUAGCAUUUAGUAGGCUGUUAAUUACCCACGGAGUGGGAGUUGGUUAUAUCCUGAAAGGGGGUGCGUGCCCCCGCGCGAUUGGGAGAUGACAUACUGCCGCGUAUUAGUAGAAUCUGCCAAGAGGGUUGAAUUAAAGCAUAUUAGUGGCAAAUAGCAUUCAAGUACACACAGUAUUAUUAUGAAUAAACAUGCUUGUUAUGUUUAUGCAGGAUACAGGCUCAAGAUUUUUGUUUUUUUAAUGUGAAGCAGGAUGGUGCGGUUAGUAGAUUGACUGUAUCAUAAAUUCUGCUGACCUUAGGCCUUCAGGGACUUGCCGAUAGCGAGUAGGCGACGACGGAGGAACGGCUGCCCACGGUGCGGUGCAGGGCGGCGAGGGCGUCGUUCCGGAAGCAGACGAUGUUGCCCCAGGGCGAGGGGAUCUGUCGGGUGGUGAGGUCGGGGCGACGGUGCUACGAUGCAGCGAUGGGAUAAUUGUUUUGUUUCCUUCUUGAUGAUGAUGAUGCGUGAUUUUAGGUGUUCCCUCCCUGGUAUGCUGCAGCGAUGGGAAGUUAUUUGUUUCCCUGCGUGUGAUGAUUGAUGAUUGGGAGGGACGUGGAGGUGAUUUCCUCUGCGGUGGAACGGUCCGUCCGUGUGUAAAUUAUUAAGUGCACCCCAAUCAACACAUGAGGUUAAGGUUGACCAUUAAAUUGAUUUUAGUGGGCCUAAUCGUAGGGUGGUAAUAGGUCUGUGUACGUUUAAUGGGGUGCGUGAAGAGAAGUUGAUGUUUGCUCUUUUAUUAGUAGUAGAGAUACACACAGUAUUAUUAGUAGUAGAGAUACACACAUGAGGUUAAGGUUGACCAUUAAAUUGAUUUUAGUGGGCCUAAUUGUAGGGUGGUAAUAGGUCUGUGUACGUUUAAUGGGAUGCGUGAAGAGAAGUUGAUGUUUGCUCUUUUAUUAGUAGUAGAGAUGUGUUGAAAAACUGUCACAAAACCUGGGCCGGCCCAUGAAGGAUACAAUAUAAUAUAAUGCAACUAAAAAAAGUAAUACAGCCAACGACCCUUGCAGGGGAUCGAACACAAGACGUCAUGCAAGAAACCACCCGAAAGUACCAGCUGAGCUAGCGCCAGUUAUCUACCACCAUGAGCCGAAUUUUCUUAUGUUAAUCGACUUCACCCGUAUAGCAGAAUUUCUAGGUUGAUCUAUCUUGGCCUCAGUCCGUCCAUCCAUCCUCUGCGACGUGGCCCAAAAAGGUAAAAAUAAUUGCUCGAUGAAACUCCUAAUCCUAACCUCACGAACUGUUCACGAGAUAAUCCCAUAUCGUUUUUGUUUACAAAAUCCCACCAGUUUAAAUAUGUUUGUGAGCUCAAGACAAUAAGCAGCCUCGAAUCAAGAUUCUUUCAAAGAAAGAAUUAAUGGGAGAGAGACCCAACAUAUAUAGGC
rnacentral:rRNA from 1 species